rnacentral:lncRNA from 1 species
AAUUUUACAAUCUGUGAUAGUCCAAAUUUUUUUAGAAUCUAUUACAAAACCAUCAUUUGAAAUAGUAUAUCCUAAGAAAUCAACUUGAAUUAUAUAAAAUAUACACUUUUUUAUCUUAGUAUAUAAUCAAGCAUCUCUAAAUUUUUGUAAUAUACCCUCAAAUAUGAAAUUUAUGUUCCUUUGUAUUUUAAAAUUAAAUUAAAAUAUUGGCUAGAUAAUAUACAAUAAAAUUAUCUAAAAUAUUUAAAAAAAA